UGCACCUCAAUGAACCUAAUUGGUGCACUGUGAGCAACCAUCAUCUGUCCACUGGAUUUCCAUAGCGCGCGGCUUCCAUCCAGAACAUAUGAAUUUGCUCAGACAGAUCCUUUUAAGGAGUUGAACAGAUAGGUCGGAGAAAAUGGCACAGCGCGUGGUUUUGUUUCUGCUGUGGCUCUCUGACAGAUCAUUUGCAGGAUUUCCUAACCAGAUAAAUAUCGGGGGACUGUUCAUGCGUUCCACGGUGCAGGAGCACAGCGCGUUCAGGUUCGCUGUCCAACUCUACAACACCAACCAAAACACCACUGAAAAGCCUUUCCACCUCAACUACAAUGUCGACAACCUCGAGUCUUCCAACAGCUUUUCAGUCACCCAUGCGUUUUGCUCCCAGUUCUCCCGCGGAGUGUACGCCAUCUUCGGAUUCUACGACAAGAAGUCCAUGAACACCUUGACCUCCUUCUGCGGUGCUCUGCACACCUCCUUUGUCACACCCAGUUACCCCACCGAUAAUGAGGUGCAGUUUGUCAUCCAGAUGCGCCCCGCCCUCCGGGGUGCCGUCCUCAGCCUGCUCUCUCACUACAAGUGGCAGAAGUUUGUCUACCUCUACGACACAGACCGAGGUUUCUCUAUACUGCAGGCCAUCAUGGAGGCAGCAGUAGCUAACAACUGGCAGGUGACCGCUCGCUCUGUUAGCAGCACAACGGACGCAGCAGAGUUCAAGCGCAUCAUUGAGGAGAUGGACAGGAGGCAGGAGAAGCGCUAUGUGAUUGACUGUGAGGUGGACAGGAUCAACACCAUAUUAGAACAGGUUGUGACCCUGGGGAAGAACAGUCGUGGUUACCACUACAUUCUGGCCAAUCUUGGAUUUUCUAAUGUGAGCUUGGACAAAGUCUUCGCCGGUGGAGCCAACAUUUCAGGGUUUCAGAUAGUCAACCCUGAGAACCAGAUUGUGCAGCAGUUUAUGCAGCGCUGGGAGCGGCUAGAUGAAAGAGAAUUCCCAGAAGCCCGAAACACUCCUCUGAAGUACACUUCAGCUCUGACCCAUGAUGCCAUCCUGGUGAUAGCAGAGGCCUUCAGGUACCUGCGGCGCCAACGUGUGGACGUCUCUCGCCGGGGCAGCGCCGGAGACUGUCUAGCCAAUCCCGCUGUGCCUUGGAGCCAAGGCAUCGACAUUGAGAGAGCUCUCAAAACGGUCCAAGUGCAGGGCAUGACUGGCAACAUCCAGUUUGACAACUAUGGCCGCAGGACCAACUACACUAUAGAUGUUUAUGAGAUGAAAACAGGUGGGCCGAAGAAGAUUGGGUACUGGAAUGAAUACGCGCGAUUUGUAAAUAUUAUGGACCCGCAGGUCUCCAACGACUCCUCAGUGGAAAACCGAACGAUUGUGGUCACUACUAUUAUGGAAGCUCCUUAUGUGAUGUACAAGAAAAAUUAUAUGCAUCUGGAUGGGAAUGACAGAUAUGAAGGCUACUGCGUCGAUUUAGCAUCUGAGAUUGCCAAACAUGUUGGAAUUAAGUACAAACUGUCUAUAGUAAUGGAUGGGAAGUACGGAGCCCGAGACCCAGAGACCAAGACGUGGAACGGGAUGGUGGGUGAACUGGUCUAUGGGAGAGCAGAUAUAGCUGUUGCACCUCUCACCAUUACUCUGGUUCGAGAGGAGGUGAUAGACUUUUCCAAGCCCUUUAUGAGCUUGGGCAUCUCCAUUAUGAUAAAGAAGCCGCAAAAGUCCAAGCCCGGCGUAUUCUCCUUCCUGGACCCGUUGGCCUAUGAGAUCUGGAUGUGUAUAGUGUUUGCCUAUAUUGGGGUGAGCGUGGUCCUGUUCCUGGUCAGUCGGUUCAGUCCUUAUGAGUGGAACCUCGAGGAACAGGACGAGACCAAAGACCCUCAGACACCCCCGGAUCCUCCCAAUGACUUUGGCAUCUUCAACUCCCUCUGGUUCUCACUGGGCGCCUUUAUGCAGCAGGGCUGUGACAUCUCCCCCAGAUCUCUGUCGGGCCGUAUUGUCGGUGGUGUGUGGUGGUUCUUCACCCUCAUCAUCAUCUCCUCCUACACAGCCAACCUGGCUGCCUUCUUGACAGUGGAGAGGAUGGUCUCUCCUAUAGAAAGUGCCGAAGAUCUGGCCAAACAGACAGAGAUAGCAUAUGGCACUCUGGACUCAGGCUCCACAAAGGAGUUUUUUAGGCGGUCCAAAAUAGCAGUAUAUGAGAAAAUGUGGUCAUACAUGAAGUCCGCUGAACCCUCAGUGUUUGUUAAGACCACACCCGAUGGCGUAGCCCGGGUACGAAAGUCAAAAGGCAAGUUCGCCUUCCUCCUUGAGUCCACCAUGAACGAGUACAUCGAGCAGCGGAAGCCAUGCGACACCAUGAAAGUGGGCGGGAACCUCGACUCGAAGGGAUACGGUGUGGCGACGCCCAAAGGCUCAGCAUUAAGAAAUGCUGUUAACCUGGCAGUUUUAAAACUGAAUGAGCAAGGCCUCUUGGACAAAUUGAAAAACAAAUGGUGGUACGACAAGGGAGAGUGCGGCAGCGGGGGAGGUGACUCCAAGGUCAGCCUCGAUGUCACCACAAUCGGGUACCAUAGUGCAGAGUAAUCGGCAAGGCUGUUAAAACAACCCAACCAUAACCAAACCAACUGUCCGCCCCAACCAACCUGCUGCUGCCCCACGGCAGAUUACCAAAUUAACUUCCAGUCUGACAAGACAGCUCAGAUCAAACUAAGGAGCCUUUGCUUAACCAACAGAAAAACAAUAUUUGUGGUUUUUGACUGUGAUGUUCAUAGACAUAGCAAAGUCUAAGAGUUUUUGUCGCCUUAGACAAACUUUGAAGUUGGAAAUUCUCAGAAAAGGGCCACUAUUAGGUGAAUGUGGCUGCCCUGCAGUUGUGAAAGGUUGAGCUCUAUUUAUUCACCCUUACACGUGUGUAGGGCAGAUCAUCCAGUCUCAGAUAUUAGGAUGUUGUCUAGUUCGCUUUCACAGUUUGAGUAAAACCAGUUGAUGAAUUCAUGCGCAUUGUUAUUGAAGUUUGCCAGUAAUCUUAAAUUGAAAAGUUUGUAACAUCCAGCCUUCCCUCCGGAAGGUGAAGUUUGCUAACAAUCUAAAAUACAUGGCUUUGUAGUACUUCGCCGCACAGCUGCUUCACAUCCAUGACACUGGCCGAGAGCAAAAAAAAACCUCAAAAUGGCUGCUCAGUUGAGGCCGACAGGAAAGCAAGGGGAACAGCGGCGUCUUGAGGGGACUAAGCAUUGCAGGCAAACGUGAGAAUUCUAAUUAAUUCCUACCCAAACUCUUUAAUAACCCAGCCGUGACCCUUUUGACGAUCAGAUCUCUCACUCUUCUUCUGUGGUCAAAUUAUGAAUAAUUUUUCCAUUAUGGAAGCUAAUGGUGCAAAGUGUGAAACCCCACUCAACAAUGACAACUUAGUGUAAUGCCACUUAGAUUAUGUGCCAUGAAGCUAUUUUCUCUAGAUGACAUAUAUGGCUCUAGCAUUUUAUUCAUUACAGUGCAGGUCAGUUUAAUGACAGAUGAUGCUGUCAGCACGCAUGUGAUUAUAUAGUUCAGUAAAUUGGCUGUAUUACGGACAAACUGCAUGGUCUGCAGAUUGUGUCAUUACUCUCUUAAUGUCAUUUGUCAUGGAUUGACCACAAUGAACAUUUAAGCUGCAGUGAGACUUGUUUUAAACAGCAUCACCACAAGACUCUGCAUGAAUCACAUAUCCAACAAUGUCUUACUAGAUGCCAACAGUUAUUUUUUGAAAAGGGUUCAAGUCACCCUUUUUCGAUGUUUGCAUUGCUAACAUUGCUAUGUUCUGUUGUCACCGAGCUCAGGAGGCCUCCCUGUGCUACUGGGAGCUCAUGCUCAGGAGCUAUUUGAAAGAACCUGUCUCUUGUGCUGUCAUCGAUCUUUUAUCACGCACAGGUAUGUACUGUCUCUCUGUUUCCUGGGUUGUUUUGGCUCCCCAGGACUCAGUGGAAAGGCCCGCUUAGGUGGAAUAAUGCUGCCUGGAGCUCUCUGUUCCAAGCAGCGCAUCGCUCGGUGCUGUCCCGCUCACAGUUUCGUGUUCCAAAAGACAUCAGGAGUUGCACAUAAUCAUGCACACCCACUCACACACAGUUAACACUGCUCUCUGCUGCCCCCAGGCACAACACAGUGCAGCCUUGAUUGAGUUUCAGACAUAGAGCAUGUUACAGGGUAAUUGCAUUGUUAAUCAAUGUCUCUCCCAGCCAAGACAAUGGUCUGGUCUUCACAGUCCGUUUCUCCAGAUUGGCUAUGAGGGAUAUACAGUGGUUUAAUCUUCUCUCAGUGCAUUAUGCAUUGCAGGGAUCCCCUUGGGGGACAUUUUUCCCAGGGAGUAGUCAGGCCACUCAUUUAUCAAUGCACUAUUUGUCUUUGCUUCAGAUUUGCUUUUUUACUUUCACACAUAGAGAUUGACCAGAGCCACAAACAAGCCACUGUUACAUUAUGACUGCAAAAUGUGAUCUUUAUCCAGCCUUUACAAUUGUUUUUUUUUUCCUGAAGUAAUUUAGCACAACACAAUACGAUGAUAAUUUAUAUUUACAUUAAGUAUUCUGGUGUCAUGAUAUAACUCCCAGAGAUAUCAAGCGGCAAGAAACAGCUGUGUCAGACAUUACAUUAUGCAGCUGCAGGCAAAUAUGAGAGGAAUUAUUCCACUGAUACUUUUGAGCUUAGUCCUGCAGCUCUGUGCAGUUUUGUUAGGACACACUUCAUCUGACACUAAUCUGGCAUAAUUGGAAGAUAAGGUUUUCUUAGCGAUAUGUCGGAAUAGAACACGCAAGAAUUAAUUAAGCUUUCACUUUUGGGCAUAGUUGCUUGGAUAUGAAAUUGGUUGUAAUACCUCCAGAAUUGAUUGUUGUAAUGCUGGUGACAAUAAUAUUAGCCAUCGCAAGAUUAAGCAGAUAUUGUGAAAAUGGAAAGGCUGUGUCUAUCGCUUAGAUUUUUCUGUUUGUUAAGACAGAGUUCUUGUUGGACUGAACUUGAUGAAAAACAUGCUGUUCAAAAAGCCCCUGUGAUCCGUUACCUUCCCCCAAACAAAUGUACCCCAAUGCUUUUUAAUAACCACAGACUUGCAGAUUGUGCUCUCAGUACCUGCUCGUCGCCCUGUUAACAGCGCCUGCCGAUUACUCAAAGCGAUAUGGGUAGGUCCUGGCUUUAGACUAGGGGUUAUAAAGGUAAUAGGUAGAAUGCCUGCUAUCUGUGAUGUUGAUAUAGCCAGGUGCCCUGCUUUAUCGCUUUGUAAAGUAUGUAGUAGUUUAAAAGUUGAAUAACAUAAAAUAACAUAAUAUAAUGUUAUUUAUGUUAUUUCCCACGUGAAGAACUCCUGUAAACCUUGCAGUAUUGAAACUCAGUGAACAAGGCAUCUUAGACAAGCUGAAAAACAAAUGGUGGUACGAUAAGGGUGAAUGUGGAACCAAGGACUCUGGAAGUAAGGACAAGACAAGUGCUCUCAGCCUAAGCAAUGUG